rnacentral:misc_RNA from 1 species
GAUGAAGAACGCAGCGAAAUGCGAUAAGUAGUGUGAAUUGCAGAAUUCAGUGAAUCAUCGAAUCUUUGAACGCACAUUGCGCCCCUUGGUAUUCCAUGGGGCAUGCCUGUUCGAGCGUCAUUUGUACCUUCAAGCUCUGCUUGGUGUUGGGUGUUUUGUCUCGCCUCUGCGUGUAGACUCGCCUUAAAACAAUUGGCAGCCGGCGUAUUGAUUUCGGAGCGCAGUACAUCUCGCGCUUUGCACUCAUAACGGCGACGUCCAAAAGUACAUUUUUACACUCUUGACCUCGGAUCAGGUAGGGAUACCCGCUGAACUUAAGCAUAUCAAUAGCGGAGGA